CACGGACCAAGGAGUCUAACAUGCGCGCGAGUCGCGGGGUAUCGAGCGGCCGGUGUUCGCAUCGGCCGUCCGUUAUAAUACGAAACCCGUCUCGUUUUACGAAAGGCGCAAUGAAAGUGAAUUUUGGGGAAGAUGACGUUACCGAGUUCACGUUUCAUAUUCUUGUAAUAUGGCCGGUCGUCCGCAUUCCCAGGGUGUCUCGAAGUUCGAUUUUAUUGCGGAUUGCCGUUCCUUCGGGGGCGGUAGUCGGAUUUGAUCGGGCUGAGGCGCACCUAUAGCGUGCAUGUUGGUACCCGAAAGAUGGUGAACUAUGCCCGGCCAGGAUGAAGUCAGGGGAAACCCUGAUGGAGGUCCGAAGUGGUUCUGACGUGCAAAUCGAUCGUAUGAGCUGGGUAUAGGGGCGAAAGACUAAUCGAACCAUCUAGUAGCU
rnacentral:rRNA from 1 species